AACGAACGCUGGCGGCGUGGUUUAGGCAUGCAAGUCGAGCGCGAACGAGAACUUCGGCUCUUCAGUAGAGCGGCGAAAGGGUGAGUAAUGCUUGGGCAACUUACCCCUCGGACCGGGAUAGCCACUGGAAACGGUGGGUAAUACCGGAUGGUCUCGCGAGCACUGCGGUGCACGCGAGUAAAGGUGGGGGUCUUCGGACCUCACGCCGAGGGAGAGGCCCGAGUCCUACCAGCUUGUUGGUGAGGUAAUGGCUCACCAAGGCUGAGACGGGUAGCCGGACUGAGAGGUUGGCCGGCCACACUGGCACUGAGACACUGGCCAG
rnacentral:rRNA from 1 species